rnacentral:lncRNA from 1 species
UCACGGCGCAGCGCCUCGUACUGGAAGUCGUCGAGGACGUCGUCGGCCUGGUACGCGGCGGCCUUGAGCUCCUUCAUCCACGUCCGGACGGCGUGGUUGGUCUCGCUCUUCGCCUCGGCGUCGGCCAGCAAGGACUGCACGUACACCAGGUGGCGCUCGAGCUUGCGCCGGUCAUCAUCGACGCCCCACAUGCUAGUGAUGCUCUGCACGAGAGUGUCUGCCGCCUUGCCGACGACGCCGCGCACCACGGGGAGCAGCAGCGACUCUGCCAUGUUUCCUUGCUCGCAGAGCUUCCUUGCUCUUCCUCACAGGCUCAACCACAGGGAGAUCUGAGAAGAGGCAACAGGUGAUGGAAAGAAGGAAGAGACUUGCUGGUAGGUGCAAUAAUGCACGCUGAUAUUUUUGGUCGUCAGCCUGUCAACCAUCAAUCCAAGCUGGCCCAGACCAUCAACAAUCCACGCAUGUGACGGGUAACAGUGAGUGACGGGAAAGUAUUGGAAUUGAUUCGGUACCAUAUAGUAUUGGCUAUAUAUAGGCCUAUAUAUAUAGUCAAUUUAUAGAAAAAGAUAAGCACAUAAAUAUUAUAAUCAUAUAAUCACAGUAGCAAACUUCCUUAGUUCUCUAGCAGCAAAAAUUUGGCCAUAACCAAUUCCUGCUGGCUCGGUCAAACAUUCCACAGCAAGGUGAAAACUCUCUGAUUACAGGGCCAAACAAAUACUAUAAAAUCUCAGAGUUCUGGACAUCAUUUGCAAACAACAAAUAAAUCGUCCAAGACCCAACCUCCGGUGGAUGCUCUCUUUCUUGGGCGUAUUUUCAGACACGGCUCUUGUUCUCGACACGAGAUGAUCUAACUGCAUGAUCACAACAUGAUUCUAGUCCCCUCAUCAAGAUAUGCACACAGGCCCGCAUGCCACCGCUCAGCAGUGCGUCCCAUAUAUACUUCCUACUUUCCUUUCGAAACGUUGAGCAGAAUUUGAGGUAUCACGAUGUUCCGAGUUUUCUUCAUCCCAGUGUUUUCUUCAUGUGCUCGAUCAUCCAGCACUGCUGCACAAAGGGAAAGCAAACAAUUAGUCCCAGUAUUCAUGCACGGGUCACAAUAUGACCGCAGAUCAAAUAUUUCACCACAAUGAAGUUUCACUAUGGUAACCUGUAGUUCACAGAAUAUAUAUAUGGCUCUAACGAUGUAAAACGGAUUAAUCAGGAAGCAAAGCCACCAUUAUUUUACCAUGGUACUCCUACCGAUCUACUCGUCCAUGAAGCGCACUUGCACAUUUCUGAUGAACAGCACAGUUGGGUCAAAGCAUUAUUAGGUGUUGGACUAGAUGUUCACCUGUGCAUUUCGCGUGCCUUGAUCAGCGAGACAGGAAAGAGCUUCCGUGGCACAGAAUGGAACAGGCUUCUAAUUUUUUGCCGAGAAAAAGGUAGAGGCUCGUCAUCCGGAAACGAUAAUGCUUAUGCAGCACAAAACCAGGGAGGAGACACGGAUUGGUUAAUGUGGAGCACCGCGUCCAGUGAUCAGUCCAAACCCAACUCAACUCCAAGUGUAGUCAAUAGUCUGCAGGUCAGGGCACCAUCUAUGCGUAGGUGUUUGAGGAUCGGUCGCUGCUGCAGAAGACCCUGUGGAAAUUCCUCUAUCCCUGGACAGUAGUCAAUAGUCAACCUUGGGAGACUUGCAAGCUUAUCACAAUUCUCAAUUUCUAGUUUUUCAAGCCGGGGAAACAUCACCAAGCCAAGAAUCUCUCCAGCACUAUUUUCGACCCAUCUGUCCAACUCAGGCAAAGCAAUUAAUUCCAUCCUCUUUAGCUUGGGGAAUAUUUGCAGAGAGGUAUUGUCUGCUUCAGCUUUCACGUUGAUGUUCUUACACAACGUGGUCAAGCUUUCCAUGUACCGUAAACAUAAAUACUCAAGAGAGGAUGACAACCAUACUAUUGGCAGGUCCUUACACCAUGGGCAUCCGGUCAUAAUGAGUUCUCUCAAGCACCGGAACAUUUGAGGGUUUCUCAUCCACUUCGAUAUAGUGAGGCCACCGUAACUAUACACCUCCAAAAUUUUUAGCUUAUCAUGAGGUACAAGCGAUUCCAAUACUUGUUCAUGAUUAGCGGCCUCACCAAUUGUAGACUUGCCAUAAUCACCAGAAAAAUGAUCCCAAUACAACAACAGUUCAUUUAGAUUAUGUUUCUCAUGGAGAUUGGCCUUCGACCCACACUUUACUUCCCGCAAAUUAUACAGUUCCAACCUGCCGCCAAUCCAUCGUAGGUCUUCGAGCUCCUCGAUUCCACAUCCACCUUUUGUGCCCACAACAAAUGUUGUUAGUGUGCGAAGGUUGUGUAGUACACUAAGUUUUGGGGGCAUUCGUUCCAACCUACUACACCCCAAGAGAUAAAUAUGGCAGAGCUUCCUCAUAGUUCUCAUACCCUCAGGUAAAUAUUGUAGUUCGGAGCAGCCAUUAAGCCUCAAAGACAAUAAGUUAUGAAACAUACAGAUUGAGUUUGGCAAGCUAACAAUGUUCGAGCCAGAGAGAUCAAGAUACCGCAAAUGUGCUGUGCGUGUGAGCUCCAUAUCGACGAUUGAAGUAUCUCCACAACAAAUACUCAAUGCUCUUGAUGGCAUCAGUUUUGACUUCAUCAGAUCCUUGUACGAUGACGGUGCCGUCAACAAAGUGCGAAGAUGCAUAGUGCCUCCGAGUAACUGGCUGAUUUUGUUCAAUUGAUAAUUUUGUGAAAUAUGCAAGUGACGGAUGUCAUUUACAGGCAGGUUUUGCUGAAUUAACUCUUCCGCAUUUGCACAUUCAUUUGCAACAUCUUUUGCAAGGUCAUGCAUCAACUCGUGCAUUUUACAUACAUUUAUCUCUUGACGAUAGGGGCCCCUCACUAAUAUCACAUCUUGGAAAAAGGACCUCCAAGCCAACUCGUUUAAGAUAUAUCCCCCUUUUUGUGUCAAGUCCAUCGUCCCCUCUUCAUGAACAUAACCGUUUGCUAUCCAUAGUUGAAUCAACAUGUCCUUCUCCAUCUCAUAGUCCUUGGGGAAAACUGAACAGAAGGCAAAGCAUUGCUUCAUCUCAGGGGACAAGUGCUUGUAGCUCAGUUUUAAUAUGGGCAAUACCUCAUCUUUACCUCUAUCGGUAUCACUAAUAUUGCAAUCUGCAAUGGCCUCCCAUUCCUGGAUUUGUUGUUUUGAACUCAUCAAUCCACCCAUUAUCUUCAGUGCAAGAGGCAGUCCCUUGCACUUCUUGAUGAUACAUCUGCCAAUUUUGACAAACUCUGGUUGCUCUUGCACUCCUUUACUAAAUGCUUUCUUUGAGAAUAAUUCCCAUGAAUCAUCUUCACUCAAACACACUAAUUCAUAAGGUGGAAGGGUGCCCAUUAUUGACGCCACUUGUCGGCUUCUACUUGUGACAACUAUCUUGCUUCCUGAUCCACCAAUUGAAGAACAGAGUAGCGGCCUCAAGUCAUCCUCCCACUUGUUUUGGUCUUCGUUCCACACAUCAUCGAGAAUGAGUAGGAACCUUUUGCGGCCAAUAGCUUCCUGCAGUUUUCCUCGCAGCAGCUCGAUCGUGUCAGGCAGAUCACAUGUGCUAUUUGUAGCCAACUCAGUUACAGAUCUAACAAGAGGAAUAGCUUCAAAAUUUUCUGACACGCAGUGCCACAUCCUCAAUUCAAAGUGCUUCUGAAUUUUGUCGUUGUUGUACACCAUCUUGGCUAGCGUGGUCUUACCCACACCCCCCAUUCCAAGGAUGGGCAGCACUUGUACAUCCUGCCGAUCUUGCUGGUCCAGCAACACUUUCACCACCCCAUCUUUGUCAUCUUCUCUGUCAAAUAUCUCAAUGGAUUCAUCCAGUGCUGAGUGCGUCUGCCGAGGAAGAGCUUGCGGAGGAGCCGCUGAGUGCAUCUGCCGAGGAAGAGCUUGCGGCGGCUCCUCCGCAAGCGCCACGAGGCCAAACUUUUUCAUCUCGAUCACGAGCUUGUCAAUCUUUUUGAGCACGUUCUUCAGGUUUCUGCUCGCUUUACAACGAAAUGCAAGACGAUUCUUUGAGGUGAAGUUGAUCAGUACCUUGCUUGCCACGGACUGGCCGCUCAGGGCUUCACGGCGCAGCGCCUCGUACUGGAAGUCGUCGAGGACGUCGUCGGCCUGGUACGCGGCGGCCUUGAGCUCCUUCAUCCACGUCCGGACGGCGUGGUUGGUCUCGCUCUUCGCCUCGGCGUCGGCCAGCAAGGACUGCACGUACACCAGGUGGCGCUCGAGCUUGAGGCGGUCCUGGUCGACGCCCCACAUGCGAGUGAUGCUCUGCACGAGAGCGUCAGCCGCCUUGCCGACGACGCCGCGCACCACGGGGAGCAGCAGCGACUCUGCCAUGUUUCCUUGCUCGCAGGGCUUCCUUGC